GCAGCCAGGGAAACAGAUCAGCAGCUUCCCUGCCCCUCUGAAGAACCUCUAGUUUGAAGGCCCCACAGGAGGUCUGCUACAGCCAGCACCACAGACCUACCCAGAGUCCUGAAUCAACCCAGGGACAAAGGAGGCAGGCUCCAGACAGAGACAUCCAGACCAACAAACAGAAGGAAUAACUAGAUGGCAAGAAGCAAAUGCAAGGCCAUAAGCAACAGAAGCCAAUAUAUGUGGGCAUCAUCAGAACCUAAUUCUCCCACCACAGCAAACCCUGAAUACACUAACACACCUGAAAAUCAGAAAGCUGACCUAAAAUUCUAUCUCAUGAAGAUAAUAGAAUCCUUUGGGGGGGGUUAUAAAUACCUUAUUGAAAGAAAUACAGGAAAACACAGGUAAACAAGUAGAACUCCUAUAACAAGAAAUAAAUAAAUCUCUUAAAGAAAUACAGGAAAAGAUAAUAAAA
rnacentral:lncRNA from 1 species